UUGGCGGGAGGUCUCCGAGCGGGUAGUGGCCGCUGUGGAGCGAGUGGCGAGCAACCGCCUGAGGCCUCAUAGCGUCCGGGGGAGGCUGUCCCGCGGCCCGGCGCCCUCUCCGCAGCCCCAGGCUUUCUCAGGAACCUUGGGAAACCAAAAUGAGACAUAAUCAACUGUGUUGUGAGACACCACCUACUGUCACUGUUCAUGUAAAAUCAGGGUCAAAUAGAUCACAUCAGCCUAAAAAACCCAUUAAUCUGAAGCGUCCUAUUUUUAAAGAUAAUUGGCCAGCAUCUGAAAAAAAUGCACAUAAUAGCAACAAGUCUAAACGCCCCAAAGGACCCUGUCUCGUUAUACAGCGUCAGGAAAUGACUGCUUUCUUUAAGUUAUUUGAUGAUGAUUUAAUUCAAGAUUUCUUGUGGAUGGACUGCUGCUGUAAAAUUGCAGACAAGUAUCUUUUGGCUAUGACCUUUGUUUAUUUCAAGAGAGCUAAAUUUACUAUAAAUGAGCAUACCAGGAUAAAUUUCUUUAUUGCUCUGUAUCUGGCUAAUACAGUUGAAGAAGAUGAAGAAGAAUCCAAAUAUGAAAUUUUUCCAUGGGCUUUAGGGAAAAACUGGAGAAAAUUGUUCCCUAAUUUCUUAAAGUUAAGGGACCAACUCUGGGAUAGAAUUGACUAUAGGGCUAUUGUAAGCAGGCGAUGCUGUGAGGAGGUUAUGGCUAUUGCUCCAACCCAUUAUAUAUGGCAACGGGAACGCUCUGUGCAUCACAGUGGAGCUGUUAGAAACUACAACAGAGAUGAAGUUCAACUGCCCAGGGGACCUAGUGCCACACCAGUAGAUUGUUCACUCUGUGGUAAAAAAGGAAGAUAUGUUAGACUGGGAUUGUCUUCAUCAUCUUCAUCCAGUGAUACAGUAGAGGUGAUGGAGAAACAUUCUCAGGAAUCACACAAUUCCUUCUCAAUGGACAUAGUAGUUGAUCCUUCUCGAGCUUAUAGCUAUUCUCAAGAUAAGGAGACUGAGGCUUAGAGAGGUUAAAUCAUUUGCCCAAAGUGGUGGAGCGACAAUUGAACCCAGGUCUGUCUAACUCUAGACUACAGCCUGAAUUCCUUUUAUGCUCUACUGCCCCCUUUGAUGAAAUCCUUUGAUGAAAUCUUUUCACCUUUGGUGGUGAAAAUAAGCUGCCACAGAAGUCUUUUAGUAGACUACUAAGAACUAAGGAGAUGGUGAAAGUACUAAGAACCAAGUUCCUGAUGAAAGAUUGUAUGGAGUGAAUUGGGAGAAAAUUCUAGGCUCAAUUUGAACAGAUAUUUAUAGAAAGCAGAACACGAGUAGUUAUGGUUUACUCAGACUAGUGCCUGUAGAUAUCAAGAGUAGUAACACUAUAUUUUAGGCUUUGUAUCUCAACAGGAAAGCACAGUGCACCCGGGGAAGAAAGGGCUCUGCCAGUCAGUUUGCUUUGAAAAAAAGAGCAUGACUUUGAGGGACUGUGGAUGAGAAGUGGAACACUUAAGGGAGUUAUAAAUGGAAUGUGCUUUUAUCCUAUCCCUGGUUUAGGAUAUAUACAGAUCCUGUACAGGAAGGAACAAGUAUUUACUCAAUCUUCUUUUGUUCAGAGUAUUAAAGUUAAAUGUAAAACUUUUGUUUUAGGAUGACAGAGGGUAGACAAAAUAGAGAAAAAUAAUUGAUCGUACAUACCCUUGACCAGUAAACAUGUACAUUCAUUUUCCCUCAGUAGGCAUAAUUCAAAGUGAGCUUUUUGGGGGUGUGGGGGCAUUAAGGGUAACACAAUCUCAUCAGGAGCAGUGGUCAGCCUCUUAUUGCCUCAGCAAAUAUUCCCAGUAGUGACCUUUGCUAGCAAAAUUUUCUUCCUUCAGUCUAUAUGAGGUGGUUGGAAUCACCUAAUGGUUUGCAGUUGCAGAAAAUUCAAUUCAUCAUUCUACAAGAGACACAAAGAGCCGAUGCGCUACUUCAGGCUUUUGUGCUAAAAUAUCAAUGCUUCUGUCUUCAGACACAAGCAAGCAACUUCUUGCUUUUCAGCCAAUGACCAUCAAUCAAAGAAAGAAAAGAAAACUAAUUUUAUGAAGAAAGACAAAUCAAUGGAGUGGUUUACAGGAAGUGAAG